UUUCCAGCUAAUGCACGUUCAAACUCGCCUGUUUUCCUGUGUUCAGUCUUUACAAGUCAUUUGCAAUUAACAGAUGAUGAUGAAAACAAUGGAGAGGUUAUGAACAAAUCCUUUUUAAGAAAUGAAAAUCUC